rnacentral:rRNA from 1 species
AUGGCAACACGGCCGGGCCCUUUGACCGAAUGGCCAUGGCACUGGAUGGGCAGCUUCAAGUACCUGGUCUUCGCACCUGUGGCGUUGCAAACUGCAUACAGGGUGGUCACCAAGGGGUGGGGGGACAUGAACCUAGCCUACGCCGCCAUCUUGCCAGCUCUGCUUCUGAGGAUGCUCCACAAUCAGAUCUGGAUUAGCUUGUCUCGCCACCAGACCGCACGCAGGAAGCACAUCAUCGUUGACCGCAGUCUUGAAUUCGAGCAGGUGGACCGGGAGAGAUCCUGGGAUGACCAGAUCAUCCUCUCUGGGCUGUAUUUCUACUUGGCCUAUGCAGCCAUCCCGAGUGUCAGACUCAUGCCAAUGUGGGAAACAAAGGGAGCCAUCAUCAUGGCGUUGCUUCACGCAGGACCUGUUGAGUUUCUCUACUACUGGUUCCACAGGGCACUGCACCACCAUUUCCUCUACUCUCGCUACCACUCACACCACCAUGCCUCCAUCGUCACAGAGCCUAUAACAUCUGUCAUCCAUCCAUUUGCUGAAAUGUUAGUUUACUUCCUGUUAUUUUUGAUCCCCAUGCUGAUACCAAUUCUUAUGGGAUAUGGUUCUAUCCUGGGUAUCGUCUUAUACGUGGCUUACAUCGACUUCAUGAAUAAUAUGGGACACUGCAAUUUUGAGCUGCUGCCAAAGUGGAUCUUCCAAGUUUUCCCUCCUCUCAAGUAUCUCAUGUACACUCCAUCGUAUCAUUCUCUCCAUCACACACAGUUUCGUACAAACUACUCAUUGUUUAUGCCGUUCUAUGACUACAUAUACAAUACCAUGGACAAGUCAACUGACGAGCUGUAUGAGAGAACACUGAUUGGAACAGAGGAAACACCAGAUGUUGUUCACUUGACGCAUAUGACCACCUUGCAAUCAACUUAUCAUCUAAGGGUUGGGAUUGCCUCUAUAGCCUCUAGACCCUCAGAUAACCCAGUAUGGUAUGUGUGGAUGAUAUGGCCAAUGGCAUGGCUGUCAAUGGUACUGGCAUGGAUUUAUGGAUCCUCUGCGUUUGUCGUCGAAAGUCUCAAACUGAAGAAGUUCAAGAUGCAAACAUGGGUGAUACCAAGAUACAACUUCCAAUAUGGCCUGAUUAGGGAGAGGGAAUCCAUCAACAGGUUAAUUGAGAAGGCAAUAUUAGAUGCGGAUGUAAGAGGGGUCAAAGUGCUCAGUCUUGGACUCUUAAAUCAGGCAAAACAACUCAAUGGAAAUGGUGAAUUAUUUACACAUAAAUAUCCAAAAUUAGGAGUUCGACUUGUUGAUGGAAGUGGCUUAGCAACAGCAGUUGUUCUCAAGAGCAUUCCUUCAGAUACAAAGCAUGUUUUUCUCUGUGGAGGCAGUUCUAAGGUAGAACGUGCAAUAGCUACAGCUUUAUGCGAAAGAGGUGUCCAGGUAAUCAUGAAUCAAAAGGAGUAUGACAUGCUCAAGUUGCGAGUUUCAGAGAGCAGUAUUGCCUAUCUGAAAUUCUCCAGUGAUGAAACACCACAGAUCUGGAUAGGAGAUAUCAUAGAUGAUAAGCAACAAAUGGGGGCACCAAAAGGAGCAACAUUUAUUCCUACAUCACAGUUUCCCCUUAAAAGGAUGCGCAAGGAUUGCACUUAUUUGAGCAGCCCUGCAAUGAAGAUCCCAGAGGCAAUGCAGAACGUCCACACCUGUGAGAAUUGGCUUCCAAGAAGGGUGAUGAGCGCAUGGCGCAUUGCUGGAAUGGUACACGCACUAGAAGGUUGGGACAUGCACGAGUGCGGAGAUGAUAUGAUGGACCUCGAGAAGGUCUGGUCGGCAGCUAUUAAGCACGGAUUCACUCCUCUGUCAAAAGCUUGA